rnacentral:rRNA from 1 species
AGCGGAGGAAAAGAAACCAACAGGGAUUGCCUCAGUAACGGCGAGUGAAGCGGCAACAGCUCAAAUUUGAAAUCUGGCCCUCUUAGGGUCCGAGUUGUAAUUUGUAGAAGAUGCUUUGGGAACGGUACCGGUCUAAGUUCCUUGGAACAGGACGUCACAGAGGGUGAGAAUCCCGUAUGCGACUGGUUGCCUGCCCCGUGUAAAGCUCUUUCGACGAGUCGAGUUGUUUGGGAAUGCAGCUCAAAAUGGGUGGUAAAUUUCAUCUAAAGCUAAAUAUUGGCCAGAGACCGAUAGCGCACAAGUAGAGUGAUCGAAAGAUGAAAAGCACUUUGGAAAGAGAGUUAAACAGUACGUGAAAUUGUUGAAAGGGAAGCGCUUGCAACCAGACUUGCACGCAGUUAAUCAUCUGGUGUUCUCACCGGUGCACUUGGCUGCGUUCAGGCCAGCAUCGGUUUAGGUGGUGGGAUAAAGGCCUUGGGAAUGUGGCUCCUCUCGGGGAGCGUUAUAGCCCUCGGUGCAAUGCCGCCUACCUGGACCGAGGACCGCGCUUCGGCUAGGAUGCUGGCGUAAUGGUUGUAAGCGACCCGUCUUG